rnacentral:lncRNA from 1 species
UACACUGUAAACCAAGCUGGCCUCAAACCCACAGAGCUCCACCUGCCUCUGCCUCUCAAGUGUUGGAAUUAAAGGAGAGGGAGGGAGGAGAAUCACCCUGCUCCCACCUGCAGGGAGAGCCAGAGCCAGAGCCAAGCACCUGGAAGAACCCAGUGUCUCCAUACCUGCCAGCUCACAGUCUCUCCAUGCAGCCUGCCUCUCAGCCAAUCCUUUCAGAUGUUCAAGUUCAGACUCAUGACCUACCCCAGGCUGGCCCAAGUGCCCCUGAAGUUAGCCAUCAUGUGGAGGGUCCCAAUGAAGAGAGAUAAAGGUCCAAGGGAGAUGUGGUGGGA